UGGGGAAUAUUGGACAAUGGGCGCAAGCCUGAUCCAGCAAUGCCGCGUGUGUGAAGAAGGCCUUCGGGUUGUAAAGCACUUUUAUCAGGAGCGAAAUACUACCGAUUAAUACUCGGUGGGGCUGACGGUACCUGAGGAAUAAGCACCGGCUAACUUCGUGCCAGCAGCCGCGGUAAUACGAAGGGUGCAAGCGUUAAUCGGAAUUACUGGGCGUAAAGGGUGCGUAGGCGGUUAUUUAAGUCUGCCGUGAAAUCCCCGGGCUCAACCUUGGAAUGGCGGUGGAUACUGGAUUGCUAGAGUGUGUCAGAGGAUGGUGGAAUUCCCGGUGUAGCGGUGAAAUGCGUAGAGAUCGGGAGGAACAUCAGUGGCGAAGGCGGCCAUCUGGGACAACACUGACGCUGAAGCACGAAAGCGUGGGGAGCAAACA
rnacentral:rRNA from 1 species